rnacentral:snoRNA from 1 species
AUGUCCUCGUGUUGUUUGCUGAUUGUUUUAUGAAAUUAAAUCAGUGAUUGUCAAACAGGACAGACAUUAUUACCACCAGUGUGGCUCGUUAAGGCUUUCAAUAAGU